GGUCGAAGACAGGGGAGCACACCAGUGCUGAGAGUGCAGGACCGUCUGCAGACCCUCCGAACCUGAUCCGGUUAACACCGGCGAUAGGGAGUCCACGCAUGCUGCGU
rnacentral:ncRNA from 2 species